rnacentral:rRNA from 1 species
UUUCCGGUUGAUCCCGCCGGACCUGACUGCUAUCGGAUUGAUACUAAGCCAUGCGAGUCUUUGUAGUAAUACAAGGCAGACGGCUCAGUAACACGUAGUCAACCUACCCUAUGGACGAGAAUAAUCUCGGGAAACUGAGCAUAAUUCUCGAUAGAUCAUAAUGCCUGGAAUGGUUUAUGGUUAAAAUGAUUCGUCGCCAUAGGAUGGGACUGCGGCCUAUCAGCUUGUUGGUGAGGUAAUGGCCCACCAAGGCGAUUACAGGUACGGGCUCUGAGAGGAGAAGCCCGGAGAUGGGUACUGAGACACGGACCCAGGCCCUAUGGGGCGCAGCAGGCGAGAAAACUUUGCAAUGUGCGAAAGCACGACAAGGUUAAUCCGAGUGAUUUCUGCUAAAGAAAUCUUUUGUCAGUCAUAAAACCACUGGUGAAUAAGGGGUGGGCAAGUUCUGGUGUCAGCCGCCGCGGUAAAACCAGCACCUCAAGUGGUCAGGAUGAUUAUUGGGCCUAAAGCAUCCGUAGCCGGCUUUGUAAGUUUUCGGUUAAAUCCAUGUGCUCAACGCAUGGGCUGCCGAAAAUACUGCAUAGCUAGGGAGUGGGAGAGGUAGACGGUACUCAGUAGGUAGGGGUAAAAUCCUUUGAUCUAUUGAUGACCACCUGUGGCGAAGGCGGUCUACCAGAACACGUUCGACGGUGAGGGAUGAAAGCUGGGGGAGCAAACCGGAUUAGAUACCCGGGUAGUCCCAGCUGUAAACGAUGCAGACUAGAUGAUGCAUUGGCAUAAUAGCCAUUGCAGUGUCUCAGGGAAGCCGUUAAGUCUGCCGCCUGGGAAGUACGUACGCAAGUAUGAAACUUAAAGGAAUUGGCGGGGGAGCACCACAAGGGGUGAAGCCUGCGGUUCAAUUGGAUUCAACGCCGGGA